rnacentral:rRNA from 1 species
UACGAAGGGGGCUAGCGUUGCUCGGAAUCACUGGGCGUAAAGGGUGCGUAGGCGGGUCUUUAAGUCAGGGGUGAAAUCCUGGAGCUCAACUCCAGAACUGCCUUUGAUACUGAGGAUCUUGAGUUCGGGAGAGGUGAGUGGAACUGCGAGUGUAGAGGUGAAAUUCGUAGAUAUUCGCAAGAACACCAGUGGCGAAGGCGGCUCACUGGCCCGAUACUGACGCUGAGGGGCGAAAGCGUGGGGAGCGAACAGG